rnacentral:lncRNA from 1 species
GAUCCACCAAGAUUCCACCUGCAGGCUGCUUGCAUGUGUGAGCGCCAUCAUUCAUUGCAUGUGCUCUGUAACGUUGAUCAAAUUCCUCAAUUUCUGUUGUGUAUAAAUAAGCCUUCCUGUAAGGCUUUUAGACAUGUAUUCGAUCCUUAUUCCGUUUCUAUCAGCUUGAGAGUUUUAACCUAUCAAGUGUAGUUUUAUUUGUACCGAAGCUUGCUGCUUCAUGUUUGUUAGCUUUUUUGGACACCAUAACUGCGCAACCAUUUUGCAGCCAUUUGCACAACCACUGCCUUCUUGCUGCCUUGUACUGUCAUUGCUCAACCAUUUCACAGCCAUUGGGCAGCCACUGCAUUCUUGCUGCCUUGCACAACCAUCUGCACUGCCUUGUCUUCUUUGUUGCACUGCCUCACGUCCUUGUUGCACCGUGGUGCUGCUGAUUGUCACCACAACUGUGUGCAUUGCUUGUUGAGGACGACUUUGAAAGCUGCACUGCAAUCUCUGUUUGCUGAGGACAACUUUGACGGCUGCACUACGAUCGCUACUCACUACACAGCCAGUUUGGAGGCUGCGAUAAAGGAAGAAGACGAGUUCAGAGUGCCU